rnacentral:rRNA from 1 species
AUUGAACGCUGGCGGCAUGCCUUACACAUGCAAGUCGAACGGCAGCGGGGGAGAAGCUUGCUUUUCCUGCCGGCGAGUGGCGAACGGGUGAGUAAUACAUCGGAACGUGCCCUGUAGUGGGGGAUAACUAGUCGAAAGAUUAGCUAAUACCGCAUACGACCUGAGGGUGAAAGUGGGGGACCGCAAGGCCUCAUGCUAUAGGAGCGGCCGAUGUCUGAUUAGCUAGUUGGUGGGGUAAAGGCCUACCAAGGCCACGAUCAGUAGCUGGUCUGGGAGGACGAUCAGCCAACCUGGGACUGAGACACGGCCCGGACUCCUACGGGGGGCAGCAGUGGGGAAUUUUGGACAAUGGGCGAAAGCCUGAUCCAGCAAUGCCGCGUGUGUGAAGAAGGCCUUCGGGUUGUAAAGCACUUUUGUCCGGAAAGAAAUGGCUCUGGUUAAUACCUGGGGUCGAUGACGGUACCGGAAGAAUAAGGACCGGCUAACUACGUGCCAGCCGCCGCGGUAA